rnacentral:rRNA from 1 species
UACGGAGGGAGCUAGCGUUGUUCGGAAUUACUGGGCGUAAAGCGCACGUAGGCGGCUUUGUAAGUUAGAGGUGAAAGCCCGGGGCUCAACUCCGGAACUGCCUUUAAGACUGCAUCGCUUGAAUCCAGGAGAGGUGAGUGGAAUUCCGAGUGUAGAGGUGAAAUUCGUAGAUAUUCGGAAGAACACCAGUGGCGAAGGGACGGC